AGUGUGUUGGAAACAUAACUUCCACGGUCCUUUCUGAGUGGUUGUAUCAACAAAGCUGUUCAAUCUUUGCACCCAGAGGUUGCAGUAAGUCUGGAUGCCACAUCAAACUGUUUGUGGUACUUCUAAACUUCGUGGAAGAGCCCUGUUUCAUAAAUCUGAGACAGCCUUGGUCUGAGGGAGCAAAGACAGAGAAUUCACGUGCUGCCCAGGCAUAGCCACAUAGCAGGUGGACAUCCCUGGACACUUUUCUGACCCUCAUUGGAUUUUCCUGGAAGUACGGAGAGUUACAUCCAGAGAACUCUGAACAUUUUGGAAGGACCCCAAUCCUGCAAACAAUGAAUGGCAAUAAAUCCUGGGACUGGAAAGGGGCUUCUCAACCCCAAGGCAACCAUAAAGUCCUAUACAAAGAAAGAUACAGCAGUGUGAAAGAGGCCUGGAUGAAAAAACAAAGACAGAGCCAGUGAGCCAGAGCCAGAGCCAGAGGACAAGAGAGAAAGGCAGAGAAUGGAAAACACAGACAGAGAAGGCAGAUGCGUAGAGAGACAGAGAUUCAAUGAGAAAAUAAGGAAGGAAGAAAGAAAGAAAACAAAAACGUUCUCAGCACUACAACUUCUGCCUUGUUCUGUUCCAGAACAGUAUGAGCUCAGUACUUUUUCAGACUCUCAAUUUUCUACAACUAAUAAUUUGCUCUUUCAGUUAGUGGCAAAGGCUUAACGACAAAGGUUCAUCUUUAAUAUUAGAGAGGCACUUUUAAAAUUUAUGAUGCUAAGCCUUUUGUUCUGGAUAUGGUAUGUUGCACAGGUCUAGGGACUGGGAUUUCAGAUGUCUAUUCCGUACCCUUAUUCUUUUAUUUAUUAAAUCUUUUAGUGUGUAUUUUUUUCUAUUUUCUCUUCUUUUAUUAGUAUGUAUUUCUUGAGUCAUUAACAUACAACAUAUAUAGGACUUCCUCUGAGGAUACAAUAAUGUAUAUGAUGGACAAGAUACGUAAAAGUGCCUUGAAGAGACUUGGUCUUGUGAGGGGACAGACAGGAAACAGGCAAUUAUCACCUAACUUAGGUCUGUUGUUUCAAGGUAAAAUAAGAAUAAUAACAUCUGUGUUGGCUGGGAUGUUGUGAGUGUUUGUGGAGAUAAUAGUACAAAUGAAAUUACUGAGGGACAAUGGUGAAGAUAGGGCCAUAUCAUGGAGCUUACACUAGUGAUGGAAGGAGAUGGGAGAUACAAAAGCAAGUCAAUAUUUCAGAUUUCGUAAAUGAAUGGCAAGCAUAGAGCAGUGAGGCAGAGAAUGACUGGAGAAAGAGACUAUGUUAAACUGGAUAGUAAAGGAAGAGCAGGACCCCACUAAACUAUAUGGAGUUUUGUGCAAAUCACAUGAACACACGUAGAACAUUUUAGGCUGCUCAUGUGACUUUGGAUUUGUCCUAAGGGCAAUAGUAAGCCUUUGAACUGCUUUAGCAUGAUAGGAUUUUAAAAGAUCACUGGCUGCUGUGUGAACAAAAAUAAUGUUGUAAAGAAAAGGAUAUUAGCUGUAUCAGAUCAGCUGGAGACUACUGAAAUAACCCAAGCUGGCUUGGACUACAUAGGAGUAGUGUAAACUCAUUCAUUCAUGCAAGAAAUACUUACUGAGUGCCUACUCAGUACCAGACCCUUUUCUAGGACAUGGAGUUAUAGCAGUGAACAAUAUAGAAAAAAAUCCCCGAAUUCAUGGAGACUCCAGUGAGCAGAGACAAAAAAAUAGCAACUAAAUAAGUUAAAAGGAAUUGAGUACCCUAUAAAAGUUUAUCAGGGAAAUGUUAUAAGGAAUGACUUUCGGAGUAAUGGGUAGUGAUCUUAAAUGUAUGGUCAAUGAAAAUCAGAAGUUGUAGAGAAGUGGAUAAAUUCACAGUACGUUUUAAAGUAGACCUAAUAAGACUUAAUGAAUUUGAUGUGGCAAGUGAGAAAAAUACAUCAAGGAUGAUGACUUUUAUAAUUUGACUUGAGUAUCUGGGAACAAACAAGUACAGUGCCAUAAUAAGGGCAGAAAAUUUUCCAUUCACUCAGCAACUUAUGAACUCAUUUGCUUAGUCUUUAUUGCCUCUUGCAUUAUGUAGUUUUCACUUUGCUGGAGUACUUGUAUAGAAGAUCACCAGUGAAGAAGCCAGAGAUGGUUUAUUUGGUCAUCCCAAUAAUACAUCUUAUUGUUAAUUAACUCUCAAGGGUUUUUUUUCACAAUUUUAGAAAAGGUUUAAGCAAAUGAAUUAUUUAACAUGAAUUGGCUAUGUGACCCUACUAUAAGGUGUUUAAAACACCAACAGCUUAAACUUCUUAGAUCAAAGGACAUCCUCCAGGCCAAAAUGUUUCCACUGGAACGGUUUCUUUGCUUCCUGAUUAAAAGCUUCCCUAAUAUA
rnacentral:lncRNA from 1 species